rnacentral:rRNA from 1 species
UUUAGGUAGCGCCUCGUGAAUUCAUCUCCGGGGGUAGAGCACUGUUUCGGCAAGGGGGUCAUCCCGACUUACCAACCCGAUGCAAACUGCGAAUACCGGAGAAUGUUAUCACGGGAGACACACGGCGGGUGCUAACGUCCGUCGUGAAGAGGGAAACAACCCAGACCGCCAGCUAAGGUCCCAAAGUCAUGGUUAAGUGGGAAACGAUGUGGGAAGGCCCAGACAGCCAGGAUGUUGGCUUAGAAGCAGCCAUCAUUUAAAGAAAGCGUAAUAGCUCACUGGUCGAGUCGGCCUGCGCGGAAGAUGUAACGGGGCUAAACCAUGCACCGAAGCUGCGGCAGCGACGCUGAUGCGUUGUUGGGUAGGGGAGCGUUCUGUAAGCCUGUGAAGGUGUGCUGUGAGGCAUGCUGGAGGUAUCAGAAGUGCGAAUGCUGACAUAAGUAACGAUAAAGCGGGUGAAAAGCCCGCUCGCCGGAAGACCAAGGGUUCCUGUCCAACGUUAAUCGGGGCAGGGUGAGUCGACCCCUAAGGCGAGGCCGAAAGGCGUAGUCGAUGGGAAACAGGUUAAUAUUCCUGUACUUGGUGUUACUGCGAAGGGGGGACGGAGAAGGCUAUGUUGGCCGGGCGACGGUUGUCCCGGUUUAAGCGUGUAGGCUGGUUUUCCAGGCAAAUCCGGAAAAUCAAGGCUGAGGCGUGAUGACGAGGCACUACGGUGCUGAAGCAACAAAUGCCCUGCUUCCAGGAAAAGCCUCUAAGCAUCAGGUAACAUCAAAUCGUACCCCAAACCGACACAGGUGGUCAGGUAGAGAAUACCAAGGCGCUUGAGAGAACUCGGGUGAAGGAACUAGGCAAAAUGGUGCCGUAACUUCGGGAGAAGGCACGCUGAUAUGUAGGUGAAGUCCCUCGCGGAUGGAGCUGAAAUCAGUCGAAGAUACCAGCUGGCUGCAACUGUUUAUUAAAAACACAGCACUGUGCAAACACGAAAGUGGACGUAUACGGUGUGACGCCUGCCCGGUGCCGGAAGGUUAAUUGAUGGGGUCAGCGCAAGCGAAGCUCUUGAUCGAAGCCCCGGUAAACGGCGGCCGUAACUAUAACGGUCCUAAGGUAGCGAAAUUCCUUGUCGGGUAAGUUCCGACCUGCACGAAUGGCGUAAUGAUGGCCAGGCUGUCUCCACCCGAGACUCAGUGAAAUUGAACUCGCUGUGAAGAUGCAGUGUACCCGCGGCAAGACGGAAAGACCCCGUGAACCUUUACUAUAGCUUGACACUGAACAUUGAGCCUUGAUGUGUAGGAUAGGUGGGAGGCUUUGAAGUGUGGACGCCAGUCUGCAUGGAGCCGGCCUUGAAAUACCACCCUUUAAUGUUUGAUGUUCUAACGUUGACCCGU